rnacentral:rRNA from 1 species
GACGAACGCUGGCGGCGUGCUUAACACAUGCAAGUCGAACGGAAAGGCCCUGCUUUUGUGGGGUGCUCGAGUGGCGAACGGGUGAGUAACACGUGAGUAACCUGCCCUUGACUUUGGGAUAACUUCUGGAAACUUGGGCUAAUACCGGAUAGGAUCUCCUGCUGCAUGGUGGUGGUUGGAAAGUUUCGGCGGUUGGGGAUGGACUCGCGGCUUAUCAUCUUGUUUGUGGGGUAGUGUCUUACCAAGGCUUUGACGGAUAGCCGACAUGUGAGGGUGACCAGCGACAAGGGGACUGAGAUAGGGAGCAGAGGGGAAUGGGAGGCAAGAGUGGGAAAUAUGACACAAUGGGCGGAAGCCUGAGGAAGAAAAGGGGGGUGCGGAAUGAAGGCCUUCGGGUUGAAAAACGAUUUCGACUGAGACGAAGCGUGAGUGACGGUAAUGGGUAAAGAAGCACCGGCUAACUACGUG